UUGGUGUGUGUGUGUGUGUGUUGUUGUGUGUGUGUGUGUUGUGUGUGUGUGUGUGUGUGUGUGUGUGUGUGUGUGUUCUGACUAGAGAAGAUGGUGCUUUGUUGGCCCCAGUGAGGUAGCGAGAGAAGAGGGAGGGGGUUGUCGUCGUCCUCUCCAGGUUUACCUCUCCCCGUUCACUGGGCCGUUCGGUCAACUGUCCAACCGCCUGAACUGAGCCAGGAUGUAGCUGAAAACGGUUUAAAAGGUAUAAGUGACGGCUGGAGCCUCGAUCUGUCUUCUUUGGCACCGGAUCAGCCUCAAACCUGGAACCGCCGCACGGGGAAAAUCGAGUAAAGCAACCACUGCUCACUGUUUAUGUAUUUUAAUCAGUAUUCGACUACUGUUCUGACCCUGCCUUGUUGUCAUGGUGAUGCUUGUGUCUUGAGCUUGACUGAAAUGGGGCAAGGCUUCUUGUUGGCCCGUAGUGACUCAGGCAAGGAGAUGUGACUUGUGAUUGGCUGGUUCUUCCUGGCUUUUCAGGGACACAGGGUUACACUUGCCUCUUUGAUGGCUUAUCCAGGAUCAGCUCUCCCUCUCCAGCUCCUAAGCUUAACUACAUGUGAGGAAACACAAAACUGACAGGAAGCCUUGGGCAAGUGAAGUCCGGAUGGUCUAUAUUCCCUUUCUGCUCUUGAUGAAAUUAUUUAAAACUUUGUUCAUUCUGAUUUUGACAGUGCUUCUCUCCUAGUGCUCACCAGUGCGCAGUUUUGUCCUUCCUCAGUAUCCUUACGUUAACCAAUUAGUGGGACAAACUGACGUCUGAUCAGCAGCUCAGGAGGCAGCAGUGCUAUGCUGUUAGAGAAGGGACAAGCAACGUCUGUAAAUCGCCUCUCAUUAAUGUUACUGUAUUGCUUCCCAGCUUUGUGUGUGUGUGUGUGUGUGUGUGUGUGUGUGUGUGUGUGUGUGUGUGUGUGUGCUGUGUGGGUGUGUGUGUGUGUGUGUGUGGUGUGUGGGUGUGUGUGUGUGGUGUGUGUGUGUGUGUGUGUUGUGUGUGUGUGUUCAUGCCAAAUCAAGGGUGAGGGGGAAGGAAAGGAUUGUACAUUUUUAUUUUUUUGGUUGAUGUGUGUGUAUAUUUAAAAAACAAAAGUAAACAAAAAAAAAGCUGGACUAUGUUAAAUGCUUGAAAAAAAAAAAAAAAAAAAAAAUGUCAUUUGCAAAAGGAUGAUGGGAAAACCUUUUUCAGAUAAGUGAACACCACCAUGAGCAAGUACAAUCCCCCAGGCUGCCAAGCAGCUUCCGACAGGGCCAGAGGGGAAGAAAGGAGGGUGGGAAAGGAGGGGAGCUGGCUGGUGAAACUCUACUACUUUUUAAUGUUUAAUAAAAAAAAUAAUGUGACUGUUUUUCUCUUGACUUAACUAUCCUGUGAGCAAAUGCUAUAUUAUAUCAUAGUACACACCCAACUGCUCCUGUCGAUCAAAAGCGCUAAGGCUAUUUUUUGACAAAAAAAAGAAAAGAAAAAAACUG